GGUACACGCUGUGACUAGCAUAUCAAUAAGCGGAGGAAAAGAAACUAACAAGGAUUCCCCUAGUAACGGCGAGUGAAGCGGGAAGAGCUCAAAUUUGAAAUCUUAAAGGGUUUCCCUUUACGAAUUGUAGUUUAAAGAAGUGUUUUCUGUUGAGGUUUUGGUAAAAGUUCUUUGGAAUAGGACAUCAUAGAGGGUGAGAAUCCCGUAUUUGACCUUUACUUUCAACUUUGUGAUACACUUUCAAAGAGUCGGAUUGUUUGGGAAUGCAGUCCAAAAUGGGUGGUAAAUUUCAUCUAAAGCUAAAUAUUGGCGAGAGACCGAUAGCGAACAAGUACCGUGAGGGAAAGAUGAAAAGAACUUUGAAAAGAGAGUUAAACAGUACGUGAAAUUGUCAAAAGGGAAGCGUUUGACACCAGUGUUGUUUUUCUGAAAAUCAAUUAAAGAACUGUUUAUGCUAAGUUGUUUAGACUUUAUCAGCUAACUGUUUAGUUUUGAGCUUUUCUUUAAUGCACUUUUCAGUUAACAAGUCAACAUCAAUUUCUUUUGCUGUAAAAAAGCUUGAGGAAGGUGGCUUGAGAUUCGUCUUAAGUGUUUAUAGCCUCUUGCCUAUGCAGUCGGAGAGAUUGAGGUCUGCAGCGUAGAUCCUUCGGGGCUAAAUGCAUUUGUGCUAAGUUAUAGCAUUUUAUAGACAACUUGUUGACUAUGAUUUGUCUUGUAGCUUACUCGCUUAUGUUAUUUUACCUACGCUUAGGAUGUUGACGCGCGUGUGUGCGUG
rnacentral:rRNA from 1 species